UUCGCGACACCAGAAGCCGAAAAGCAAAACGAGAUUUCCUCUUCCUCGUUCUAUUCUCUGCGAGCGCGUCGCUGCUCCUGCCUUCGUAUCAUCAACGAUGUAAUCGACUACGUAUAAAAAACCACCACUUCCCCUCUCUCCUUCGCUCGCCUGCCUUCUCCGUCCUCGAAUCGCAGUCGUGCCAGGUGAAAGUUCCAAGCUUUCUUCUCCCGAUCAUCAGUGGAAUUGAUGCGCGAGCGGGGGAGAGAGGAAGAGAGCGAUUCGAGCAGAGACCGUUCGGUUUCCGCGCGCGGGUCGGAACGGACGACGGUGGAAGAUCGAAUGUAUUUGGCGGCGGAUCACAGCAACCGAGCACGAGGCCGCGAUGGACUUUGAUCGCAGAGAAGAUACUCGAAGGAAUUUCGCGGCAUUAUCUAGAAGUUAUUCCAGCAAUGGAAUCCUUUACAACCUUCAGGAUAAAAGCAACGCACUCUCCGGGUUAUCCAAGCUUAAGGAUGGAACUAGCGGUCAGUCUGAUGGGGAUGUUGCGAAGAAAGUUUUGUCAAUUAGUAGAGGUGAACAUCCCAAUGGACCUAAUUAUCCUCUCUACUAUGGCUGGCGGUAUCCCUACUCUCAUCAGAUGCAGCCGUACCAAAUGAAUUCUUUUGAGGGUCAAUUUUUCUCUUUCCACGGGGGAAACGGCUUUCAUGGUUAUCGGCCAGAUAUGCUCUCUCAAGGUUACCUCCCCGAGUGCCAGUUCCAAGACUUUCAGUAUUUUGUAGUCAUAGACUUUGAGGCAACCUGUGACAAGGAAAAGAAUCCCCAUCCUCAAGAGAUAAUUGAAUUCCCAUCUGUUAUAGUGAGUAGCAUGACUGGCAAAUUGGAAGCAUGCUUCCAAACCUAUGUUCGACCAACAUGCAAUCAGCAUCUGAGUGACUUUUGCAAAGAUUUGACUGGUAUCCAGCAAUCUCAGGUAGAUCGAGGUGUUACUCUGAGUGAGGCUCUUCUUAGUCAUGACAAAUGGCUUGAAAAGAAGGGCAUAAAGAACACAAAUUUUGCUGUUGUUACCUGGUCCAACUGGGAUUGCCGGGUGAUGUUGGAAUCCGAGUGUCGAUAUAAGAAAAUUCGAAAGCCUUCUUACUUCAACAGAUGGAUUAACCUAAAAGUCCCAUUCCAAGAAGUUUUCGGAGGUCUAAGAUGUAAUCUUAAGGAGGCGGUUGAGAUGGCUGGCUUGACCUGGCUCGGGCGUGCUCAUUGUGGUUUAGAUGAUGCAAAAAACACAGCUCGCUUGCUUAUGGUUCUUUUGUGCAGGGGAAUCAAAUUUUCCAUCACCAACUCUCUGACAUUGUAUGACAAUGACCAUGCUCUGAUAUCACAGCACUCGCCUCCCCAUCAGCCACACACACAGAAGGAUUUGCGGGGUCCUCAAUCACAGUAUAAUCCUUAUUGUUUCUGUGGCAUCAAGAGCAGCGUAGGCUUUGUUCGGAACCCAGGUACAAAGCAAGGGAACUUCUUCUUUUGGUGUGGCAAUUCAGCUGCUGCGAGAGGUGGCGGAUGCCGUUAUUUUCAGUGGGCGGCUUCUUGAUUGGAUGUAACUUUCCUGGUUGACAUCUUCAACUUUCUUAGGUGCUCCCUAUCACAUUAGGUAGGAACCGUUAUUUUCAGUGGGCGGCUUCUUGAUUGGAUGUAACUUUCCUGGUUGACAUCUUCAACUUUCUUAGGUGCUCCCUAUCACAUUAGGAGUUGGUACAGCUGAUACGAUUUUUUGGUAACGAGCAUGAUGAAGAAUGGAAAUCUAUUGCUGCCGGUCCUCUUGGCUCCUGUUACGUUGCUUGGUAGGCAUCUAUAGCUAAGGGAUUUUUAAAUCAAGAUCUGUCGGAUACAUCUUCACUUUGAAUGUGCCAAUGAAGGCCUCCAUAAUAACCGACGCAUCAAUAACAACAGAUCACAUCAAAUCUGAAGACACCAAGCUUUCGCACCAAACUAAAUUGUAAUAGGCGGCUGUAAACUGUCCAAAUUAAUUUCUCUUUCCUGCAUUGUUUGUAGCAGCCGCAGUCAAGGGGGAAGACGGUUGCUUGUCCCAGUUGUGUUUGCACUGCGCAGAUUACAGUACUUACCAGCCACCUUUGGCAAACAGAUCACUUAAUGAUAGCAAGACUAGAAAUGAA